UACGGGGGGGGCAAGCGUUGUUCGGAAUUACUGGGCGUAAAGGGUUCGUAGGUGGCCAACUAAGUCAUGCGUGAAAUCCCUCAGCUUAACUGGGGAACUGCGUUUGAUACUGGUGUGGCUUGAGUGCAGGAGAGGAACGCGGAAUUCCAGGUGUAGCGGUGAAAUGCGUAGAUAUCUGGAGGAACACCGGUGGCGAAGGCGGCGUUCUGGACUGCAACUGACACUGAGGAACGAAAGCCAGGGGAGCAAACGGG
rnacentral:rRNA from 1 species